UUUCAUUCCUUUUCACAUUUUGGCACAUGCCGAGUCAGUACUUGACCGUGUGUAUCCGCGCCCGUAAAGCCUAAUGUAUUUGUUAAAAUCAUUCAAAAACCGUAGAAAAUCGUGCUAAACCUUUUAGCAUUCGCAGCAGUUUUGUGUUUUCGCAAAAGAAAAACGUCAGUGUAGAAAGAGGUCAGCAGAAGUGCAAAAGGAUUUACUCUGCCUGCCAGGAGAUUGGGAAGCAUCGUUAUAUCAGUGUGAUCACAGCCAGAGACGGGGGAAAGCAGCCACAAGAUGUCGUUCGAGGAGACUUCCGCUGAUCGCAAUGUGGAGAUUUGGAAAAUAAAGAAACUUAUCAAAAGUUUGGAAAUGGCCCGAGGCAAUGGCACGAGCAUGAUUUCGUUGAUCAUUCCACCGAAGGACCAGAUUAGCCGUGUGAGCAAGAUGUUGGCCGAUGAAUUCGGCACGGCUUCCAACAUCAAAUCCCGCGUAAACCGUCUGUCCGUACUGGGUGCCAUUACCUCGGUCCAGCACCGGCUCAAACUAUACACCAAAGUGCCUCCGAAUGGACUCGUGAUCUACUGCGGUACGAUUGUCACCGAAGAGGGAAAAGAGAAGAAGGUCAACAUUGACUUUGAACCGUUCAAACCGAUCAAUACCUCUUUAUACUUAUGCGAUAACAAAUUCCACACUGAAGCACUGACGGCCCUGCUGGCAGACGACAAUAAGUUCGGUUUCAUCGUGAUGGACGGUAACGGUGCGUUGUUCGGUACACUCCAGGGUAACACACGAGAAGUACUGCACAAAUUUACCGUGGAUCUGCCGAAGAAGCACGGUCGUGGUGGUCAGUCUGCAUUACGUUUCGCUCGUCUGCGUAUGGAAAAGCGUCACAACUAUGUUCGAAAGGUAGCGGAAGUGGCCACCCAACUGUUCAUUACCAACGACAAGCCAAACAUUGCCGGACUCAUUCUUGCUGGUAGUGCGGACUUCAAGACAGAACUCAGUCAGUCAGAUAUGUUCGAUCCGCGAUUGCAAUCGAAAGUGAUCAAACUGGUAGAUGUUUCGUACGGUGGUGAGAACGGUUUUAACCAGGCCAUCGAGCUAGCAGCCGAGUCAUUGCAGAACGUUAAGUUCAUUCAGGAGAAGAAGCUGAUCGGGCGAUACUUUGAUGAAAUUUCACAGGACACGGGCAAGUACUGCUUUGGCGUUGAGGAUACCUUGAAGGCGUUGGAGCUGGGCUCGGUUGAAACGCUUAUCUGCUGGGAGAACUUGGACAUUCAACGCUAUGUGUUGAAGAACCACGUUAGUGCGACAUCCACUACAGUAUUGCAUCUAACCCCUGAGCAGGAGAAGGACAAGUCCCACUUCACCGACAAGGAGAGUGGUGUCGAGAUGGAAUUGGUCGAAUCUCAGCCACUGCUAGAAUGGCUUGCGAACAACUACAAGAGCUUCGGCGCUACUUUGGAAAUUAUCACUGACAAGUCACAGGAGGGCAGUCAGUUUGUGCGAGGAUUUGGUGGAAUUGGAGGUAUUCUACGUUAUAAAGUUGAUUUUCAGUCGCUGCAAGCAGACGAGCCACUAGACGAUGUUGACCUUGACGAUUACUAAAUCAAUUACCUUGUAUUCCUCCUAUGUUUGCAUUCAGGACAAACAGCGAAAUGACAUUAAACACACACAUACACACAACAAAUACUUUCAAGACACUCUUUCUGACUACUCUAUAAUCAGGAAACGCGUUCUAAGUCGAUUUUUGCGAGUAGAAAAACAAAUAAAUUUCAAUCUAGCGAAGUAAGCGCCAGCGAAUAAGAGCAAGUGUGGUUGGGCAUUCCUUCCACUAAAAAGAAAUUUGACGCGGCGAAUUUCAUUCCAAGAGAAAACCAAAACGAUAUGAAAUAAAAAUGGAAUACUACAGAAAACAACAACCACACAAACAUACAUAAAGUCUAAUAGUUAUUAUAAUCAGUAAAAUUCUAUUCGGUCAACUGAUGAGAUGUAGCAACGGUUGUCGGUUCCGAGCCUGCGUGAGCGUGUAUUUAGAUAAAAACGAAACAUAGAUACUGUUUAUAUAAAUAUUCAAAGGCAUCCUCCGAUGCGUUCGGAGAGGGGGUUCGUUCCACUCGUAUCUUUUCUAACUUCUUCCCGUGAGAUAGAGCUGGAUGCGAUUUUCGUCGAUUGAAGGAAGCAAAACUCCCCACUCCCUAGGAGAUUCAUCGCAGGAUGCCUGAUUUUUAUGGUGAUAUAUCAUUGAAAUUAAUAAUAACAUUAUAAUAACAAUUGAUAUGCAACAAUCAAAAUACCAACAUGUUUGAGCAGAGGAAUAAUUGAAAUUAUCGCGAAGAACAUUAGACAUUAAAACAAGUUGUACCACCAGAACUUGUGUCCAAGGAGACGACAGAAUUUCUCUAGAAAGUGUUUCUUUUGAUGAGGCUGAAUCGGUAGGGAAACUUCAAUUUUAGAUUGCGUCCAGUUAGAGGGCGUAUGCGUUUUAUAUGUCUUAUGUUUUGUUUAGAUAUGCACUCACGAAAAAUAAUACAAUAUCACUACGGUACGAAACAUCAGAUUAGAACGACGGUCUGGCAAUUGAUUCAAAAACAAAACGUGGUCACAACGAUGGCUGGGCAAGACUCUACACCAAGAACUCACACACCAGAUAUGUACAAGGGGGUGUGUUUUUGCAAACAUGAUGCGAAUAAACUGGUGCUUUGUGGUGAAUCUGAAAAACGGCAUUUGUGUACGCAUAUUUACCACUAACGGCUCGUGGGGAAAAAGGUAUUCUGCGCUACAAAGUAGAUUUCCAAAGUAUGCAACUAGACGAACUGGACAACGAUUGUUUCGAUUUAGAAGAUUAUUAAAUUUUUAUGUUUCUGAAAUUAUCUCUCAUACACACAUACACACACACGCAGACAGAUUAGGAAAUAUACGAAAAUAGGAGAAAUGUCGGUGGAAUAGACACACACUUUUCUUUUAUUAUUGUGUGCAUGAUAGCCGUAAAGUAAAACAACUAAAGUAAAGUCGUCUCAUACCUACAAUCGGAACGAUUGAUAUCAAGAAGUCCAACACAGUCACAGAGGAUCGUUUGUCUAGUUUCUUUUACAACGUGCAAAGAAAAGCCAGGGAAAAUUCUAAAAAAAACUCCCACAAUACACCAACCGAAAAGAUGGCGGGAUUCUCUUCCAACGCGCAAUGGACACUUGUUGGUUUAGAGAGGGGUAGACAGGUAGUAGUAUCACUAGUUCAAGUAAAAAGGCUCAUGUAGUAGUGAUUCAGUCUCACCUUGCUGUAUAUACACGUUUGUUUGGAUCUUUUGAUUGUACCCAGUGCUAAUGAAGGCAAACAAAAGUAUACACUAUUUUAAACAUAUAAUGGAUAAGAACUUAAUCGUAAUAUACUUCGCUUAUUAGCACGACCAGAUUCGACAAGACUUGAGAUAAUAGCAUCCAGAUCGUUCGUUUCCAUCUCAUGGCUGUAAGCUUAAAAACGUUGCUCCGUUUUUUCUUUCUAAAUUGUGUAAUAACAGGACUAAAUAUUAUGCACAUCUCAA